rnacentral:rRNA from 1 species
GAUGAACGCUAGCUACAGGCUUAACACAUGCAAGUCGAGGGACCGGCGCACGGGUGAGUAACACGUAUCCAACCUGCCCUUUACUCGGGGAUAGCCUUUCGCAAGACAGAUUAAUACACGAUAUAAAGUAUGGGGAUGCGUUCCAUUAGGUUGUUGGUGAGGUAACGGCUCACCAAGCCUUCGAUGGAGAGGGGUGCUGAGAGGAAGGUCACCCACAUUGGAAAGGAGACACGGUCCAAACUCCGACGGGAGGGAGAAGUGAGGAAUAUUGGUCAAGGGGCGCUAGCCUGAACCAGCCAAGUAGAGGGAAGAAUGAAUGAGUAUGGGUGGUAAACUUCUUUUAUAUAAGAAUAUGUAUUAUAUGAAGAAGGAUCGGCUAACUCCGUGCCAGCAGCCGCGGUAAUUC